UCUGGCCUUACCUUUAGGUCUUCAAUCCAUUUUGAGUUUAUUUUUGUGUUAUGGUGUUAGGUAGUGUUCUCAUUUCAUUCUUUUACAGGUAGCUGUCCAGUUUUCCCAGCGCCACUUAUUGAAGAGGCUGUCUUUUCUCCAUUGUAUAUUCUUGCCUCCUUCAUCAAAGAUAAGAUUCCAGCUAAGUGGUUCCCCGUUUGUUGCAGCAGUGAUUCUGAGUUUGGCUCUGUCGUUUGAAGACUUGAUGGUCUCUAAAGGGAUUAAGUUUCUACAGAACUAAUCUCAGUUAGACUCCUAGAAGCACGCCCCGCUCCUAGGAGUAUAACACGAAAACUCGCCUCCGUUCAUUCUAGAAGAUGCUGGCUUCUUCUCGAUGAUCUGCACAAGAGGCUUCUCCCUUCCUUCUUCACGGCUGUCGUCAGUGUCUGGAUUGACCUCUUGUUGAACAUCCUCAUCUCUCCUGGGCUCUGUGAUCUGGAAGUAAGAGAAGGAGCAAGGAUGUCAGAUUUCAAAGUGGCAACUGUCCAGAUAUAAAGGUUUUCACAUUCUUAGUCAAUUCUAACCAGAAUUGAGACUCAUUUAUGAUUGCAGUUUUAUCUCAAAUUCUCCAUUCUGAACCCCAGUCCUGAACCCAUUCAUUGUUUUCAAGUGCGAUUCUUGGACUUUGGUGACCCUGACUCCAAAAACUACUGAAUACACCCAAGGUCAGGCCCAGUAAAAUCUGCUUUAUAGCCCAGACUCCAGGUGUUUCUGCUCAGGGAGCUGGCAUUUGGAGAAUGCUGCUUUAGUCUUAACUCACCUUGGUCCUUUGGCACCACUUAAAUUCUGAACUUGGAAGCACACUACAGACAUCACUGACAAGUCAACAUCGUGGACCAGGAGACCUGAGGCCAGAUCCCUAACCCUAACCCUGCAUCCUAAUG